AGUUGGGGCCUGGUCAACAGGGGUCCAGGAGCUGAGGCCUGGUUGGUGGGCCGUCUAGCAGUUGAGGCCUGGUCAUCUGGGCCCGGCAUUUGGGGCCUGAUCGGCGGGGAUCAGAGCAGUGAGGCCUAGUCAGUGAGGUGUGGAUGUGGGGGCCUGGAUGGACGUGGAGGAAGACGUGGCUACCCUACUUGCACAGGAGCAGGGGGCAUCAUUGCCCAGUGUGAGCAGUGAGACGUAGCUGCCACCCAUCAGUGCCCUGGAAGUGAAGAGAAGACAUCAGGAGAUGAGGGACACAGAAAAAUGGCUCCAGGUGCUUCUCGACUGCCAGCGACAUAGGAGCGGCAAGGAGAGCAAGUAAUGACGCCCUCCUCCCAGACUUGCCCCAAAGCCCCCCAGAGCUUGGUGGUGUCCCAGGACGGUCCUCCCAGGAAACAUUUUGAAUAAGUUGCUGAAGUGCCUGAUGGACGUGGCUCUCGUCACGAAAUGAGUUUGGAUCCGAGAAGCCCUCUUCUUCAUCGGAAAACAGUGCCUCAUCAAUGAAGUAAGCAGGCAGCUACGUUCUGGAUGGCUAGCAUGUACCGAAGGCACAAAACCUCCAGAGUUGGCAGAGUUAAGUCCUGGCGUGCCCGAGGCUAUCCAGGGGAACACGCGGGACAGACAGCACCCUCAGCCUGUCCCCAUGACCCUCUGCUCCAGUCUGAGGGGCAGGACACCAUGAGACCUCUCAGACACAGAGUCCACCCUCGACAUGACCCGGAUGAAAGGCAGGAGUGUGCUCGCUGAAGGGGACCCAUCUCUGCAAGCCCACAGCCCUACCUGCAGCAUCCACAGCCUCAGAGAGCAGCGGGGCCCCUUACCCCUGAACCCCCUCCAAGAGCAUCAGGACAACAAGCCUUGAGCUGUGGAGACAAGAGAAUCAGUAUCCCUGGCCCAGGGAGGAUUCCAGGAGAGGACACGGGCAGGAGCCCUGGCCCAGAGCCAGAACCAAGAGUCCAGCCAGCGAAACUGGAACUAGGGUCCCCGGCACCCAGGACUCUGCGAGCAUCCCCCAACAGCAAGCCCUUCUGCAAGGGAGACGGGUUGGCCCACCCCAGGCUGUCCAGCUCCAGCAGCCUUGCAGGCAGCCUCUCCAGAAAAAGAGCCUGGUCCUCCCCACCCUGCUCCCCACAGGCUGUCCCUGACCCUGAGGCCCAGAGGCACAAGAGGACUUCUGUAGAGCCCAGGGGAGCAGGCUGUUCUCUUGGGGCCCCAGCGGGCUCAAGGUGUGGCCAGGCUGUCCCCAACUCAGGAUAGAUCAUAGGCUGUCCUGCGUACCUCCUCUGGAACUCCCUGCCCAAGCUCUGCCAUGGACCUGGACGUCAGGGGCCUGUGGUUUAACUUUGAAUAGGGAUUCUGGACCUUACACGUGUGCCCUGGACAGCCCCAGAACCAUGGGGUGGGGACCGACCCAGCAAGCCCACCGGGGCCCUGAAACCCGGCCCUGCCGGACACUGUGAUAAUAACCAAGAGGCAAGUCCAGAGACAUCCACUUUGCCCAAUGGCACCUGCAUCCAACUUCUCAGCAGGCAGUGACUGGCAUGGUGUGGGGGCAGCCGGGGCAGCACCUGGCCAGCACCUGGCCAGCUGCCCUGUAGCCCCCGAUGGCUCCAGUGCCUCUGGACCUCAUUUUCUACUUUCUACGGGGAAACCUACUCCCUCAGAGGCCACCAGAGGGAAGAGUGAGCAAGGCGUUCCUGCAGUCCCGACCAGCCAGCGGCAUGUCCUGUGGCCUCUGACUCAACCUAUGAGACAGAGCUCUGAUCCCAGGGCACACUUCCCAGGACACGGGGCCCAGCCUCAACCAGAGCCCUGUGAAGGGAGGGGCACCAGGAUGACCACAUGGGGGACCAUGGCGCUGCACACCUGGGCACUGUACUUCUCAUUGGAGAAUCCAGGCAAGAUCUUGAAGCAGGUGCAUGAGGUCCUGAGCCUGUGCAGCAAACAGCACUCAUCUGGGGUUGGCACGAAGGGGUCUACAGAGCCACGGCCACCGCAGCCUCUUCCCGGCCCCAUCUGUGCAGUGCAAGUGAUCCACGCCUGCUCCUAAACCCAGCCCAGCAAGCAGCAGCAGCCCGGGCCCCCAAGCCCGCCAGGCCAAUGUGCUGCCCAGAGGCUUCGAGGCCCUGCCCGCUGUACCUCCCACCACCUGGAAGCUGCCUCCUGACGCCUUCCAGCCACUGCUGCAGCCGCAACAGGUGUCGCGGCCAGUGCAGGCUUUCCAGACGGUGGCAGCGCCCAGCAGCCGUUGCCUCAGCUCUUUGGUGGCAGCCAGGCCAACAAGGGCAGCAACGAUGACUAGGAUGAUGAGUGAGCAAACAGCUCCACACUGGUGGACAGGCUGGGUGCGCACCCGGUGGUCCUCAAAGGCUCGCUGGGCCUGUACCACCGUUAUAAAUUUGAGAUCAUGAGAUUAUACCGUUUGCCUUCUUGCUUUUUGAAGUACGAGUAUUUUUAUGCACACUUUGUAGACUUCAAAAUCCAUGAAGAGUCUCAAAGAAGCCGGAUGGAUGGAGCCUGCUGCGGAUGCCUUUUACUCUCGUAGAUCAGGGUGAUUUACAUUCCACCUGUAGUCUGCUUGCAAACACACAGAGCAGCCUUGCAGCUUUGUGCCUUUAGACUCUUGGUUUUGCAUUUCUCCCUGCUCCCUUCUUCCUUCCAGUAAGCUGCAACUUUUCUGAUUGAAAGGGUGCAAGGCUAACACACGGAAUGACUAACUCAGGAUCACAUACUGGCAGUGGGAGAGGCAGGAGGAGCAGCUGCCAUCAAUUGCCAGGGCCAAGUGGAUGAUAGGAUGGAUGCUGGUGCAUGCGGAGGAGGCAGACGCAACGCUCAUCUCUAAUAAUGAUGUCUGUUCCCUCAGAGGCGGCUAGAGCAUCACCUCUUCACGCAAGUGUCUUGAAACUCAGCUUGAAGAUUUCAGCAAAUGUGUCUUACAGAGAAGAGAAGAGGGAGUCAGCCCAUCGGGAUUAAAAAUAUAGAGGCAGUGACAACACACACUCGGCUUCAGUUCUUAGGAGAGUUUUGGUUUUGAUUUUUUUUUUUUUUUUGGAGAAGAUUUUUUUUUUAAUGGAUCUACACUGUUAACUGAGACUCUGUUGAGAUUCACUGGUUUACUUAAAAACUUCUCAGGGAUGUCUGUAAAUUUCAGUGUUAUAUGUCAUGAAAACUGGUGUGGGCAGAUCUGUUGGUUGAAAUAAUUUCUACUGUUUCAAAUACUGAAGGCAGGAAUAAUUGGUUUAUACUGUGUUUUAAAUAGAAGUAUUACUGGUAAGUCCCCCAGGACAUUAAACCUUAAAAAUCA
ensembl:lncRNA LINC00661 long intergenic non-protein coding RNA 661